rnacentral:rRNA from 1 species
AUUGAACGCUGGCGGCAUGCUUUACACAUGCAAGUCGAACGGUAACAGGCCGCAAGGUGCUGACGAGUGGCGAACGGGUGAGUAAUGCAUCGGAACGUGCCCAGUCGUGGGGGAUAACGCAGCGAAAGCUGCGCUAAUACCGCAUACGAUCUAUGGAUGAAAGCGGGGGACCGUAAGGCCUCGCGCGAUUGGAGCGGCCGAUGUCAGAUUAGGUAGUUGGUGGGGUAAAGGCUCACCAAGCCAACGAUCUGUAGCUGGUCUGCGAGGACGACCAGCCACACUGGGACUGAGACACGGCCCAGACUCCGACGGGAGGCAGUAGUGGGGAAUUUUGGACAAUGGGCGCAAGCCUGAUCCAGCAAUGCCGCGUGCAGGAAGAAGGCCUUCGGGUUGUAAACUGCUUUUGUACGGAACGAAACGGUCCUGGUUAAUACCUGGGGCUAAUGACGGUACCGUAAGAAUAAGCACCGGCUAACUACGUGCCAGCAGCCGCCGUAAAAC